rnacentral:lncRNA from 13 species
GCAUCUAAUGGGUAGGGCCCAGGGAUGCUGCUAAACAUUCCCCAAUGCACAGGACAGGCCCACGGCACAGAAUUAUCUAGUCCCAAAGGCCAGUGGUGCUGAGGCUGGGAAAACCAGCUCUGGCACCACAGUUAAGAGCACGGGUUUAGAGUCAGCCAGACAUGAUUGCACGUGGGCCCGGCAGUUCGCUGCUGGGAUCCUCUGCCUCCUCAUCAGUAAAUUGAGGAUGAUGACAGCACCUGUUUAUGAGGCUCAUUUCAUCCUGCAAGAACAGAAUGAGAUGGUUCACAGUGAAGGCUUGGGGGCAGCGCCUGGCUCAUGCAUUUAAACAGUGUUUGUUCUUGCCAUUAUUAUAAACCUGAAAACUGCCAAACUAGGACAGAAACUCGUGAGCUUUGCUCCUCAACCCAGGUUUCUCUUACCCAAGGAACAUUCCCCAAGAAAGUGCAAGGCAUAGCUUGGCUUAUCUAGGGAUCCUCCUUGGUGCUCCCAAAUGUGUGCAGCCAGCUCUGGGGAUCUCUAGGACACAGCCAGCCAGCCCCACCUUUGGAGGCUUCUUGGAGAUCAUCUGGGGGCAUCUGCACUCUGCUUCUCUUCCCCAGCCCCAGCAGCCCCCACCCGCAGCAAGCACAGCCUCCACACGUCAGUGGCACACGCGGCCUCUGUGGCCCAGACGGCGGUGUUUAAAUGCCACAGCCACUUCAAGGUCUCCGCGUCCAUCGGUUCAGGAAGGAAGUCCUACCGGACAAACCAGCUUUGGUACAGCACCCCUCACUGAAGCAGUGACGAGACCCAGAUACCCAGUUACCAUCUUACAAGACCAAAGCCUGCAAGAAGCGCUUCCCCGCACGAAAAGAGGCUCCAACUCUGCUUCUCUCUGCCUUGCACUCUAGUUAUUCACAGGCAUGUCCUGGUGCCCUGCCUGGAGGACAGAGACCCUGCCUUCUAGUCUCUGUGGCCUGCACACCCCCAUGCCCAGGGUCCAGCACCAGCACCAACAUUGAACCACAGCCUCCUCUCUGAGCCUGGAAGUGAGCAGCCACAUUUACAUCCCAGCAUAUGCAUUCCAAUAGGCUGCAGGAGGUGCUUGCUAAAACAUCAUUCCAUCUUGUGCUUAGAGCUGAGGUCGAGCAAAUGGAUCUGUGCAGAAAAUGCUCUUUAAAAUGCAUUACGCACAUGAGUUUAAAGAGAUGCCUGCUGCUCAGUGAAUUUCAAAAAGGAGCAAGCCAGUGAUGAACGACCUCUGUUGUUACCAGGCUAAGGAACAAGGAGCUCUGUCUGCCUGUAAAUAAAGUAUGGACAUGUGUCA